UGGUACAGCAAGGACGGGUAGUGA
rnacentral:piRNA from 1 species